GAUGAACGCUGGCGGCGUGCCUAAUACAUGCCAGUCGAGCGAACGGACGAGAAGCUUGCUUCUCUGAUGUUAGCGGCGGACGGGUGAGUAACACGUGGAUAACCUACCUAUAAGACUGGGAUAACUUCGGGAAACCGUAGCUAAUACCGGAUAAUAUUUUGAACCGCAUGGUUCAGAAGUGAAAGACGGUCUUGCUGUCACUUAUAGAUGGAUCCGCGCUGCAUUAGCUAGUUGGUAAGGUAACGGCUUACCAAGGCAACGAUGCAUAGCCGACCUGAGAGGGUGAUCGGCCACACUGGAACUGAGACACGGUCCAGACUCCUACGGGAGGCAGCAGUAGGGAAUCUUCCGCAAUGGGCGAAAGCCUGACGGAGCAACGCCGCGUGAGUGAUGAAGGUCUUCGGAUCGUAAAACUCUGUUAUUAGGGAAGAACAUAUGUGUAAGUAACUGUGCACAUCUUGACGGUACCUAAUCAGAAAGCCACGGCUAACUACGUG
rnacentral:rRNA from 1 species